ACGCACGCUGGCGGCGUGCUUAACCCAUGCAAGUCGAACGCUGAAGCUUGGUGCUUGCCCUGGGUGGAUGAGUGGCGAACGGGUGAGUAAUACGUGAGUAACCUGCCCUUGACUCUGGGAUAAGCCUGGGAAACUGGGUCUAAUACUGGAUACGACAUGUCACCGCAUGGUGGUGUGUGGAAAGGGUUUUACUGGUUUUGGAUGGGCUCACGGCCUAUCAGCUUGUUGGUGGGGUAAUGGCUCACCAAGGCGACGACGGGUAGCCGGCCUGAGAGGGUGACCGGCCACACUGGGACUGAGACACGGCCCAGACUCCUACGGGAGGCAGCAGUGGGGAAUAUUGCACAAUGGGCGGAAGCCUGAUGCAGCGACGCCGCGUGAGGGAUGACGGCCUUCGGGUUGUAAACCUCUUUCAGCACGGAAGAAGCGAAAGUGACGGUACGUGCAGAAGAAGCGCCGGCUAACUACGUG
rnacentral:rRNA from 1 species